CUACAAACAUAUUUAGAUGACGUGUUUCAACGUUGUGAAUUUUGCAAUUCGGCGUAGAUUGCAUCAUCAAAACUCCAAGAUAUAAAACUUACUCAUUUUGUAAUGAAAAUUGAGAUUAUUCGUUACAUCAAGUCUUAAGUGUUGGCAAUAACUAACAGCAGCAAAGGAAAUUCCAGCAACUGCUACACCAAACCGAAUAGCUGUGGAGUCAGUAGUAUGAGAACAUCUUGGGUCCCACGUUGCACAGGCAGUACAUAAAAUGAUUCCAGUACAAAAAGCUUCAACAAGUACAGCUUGGAGUUUUGAUACUUCAGGAUGGACUACUGUUACACAUAAUGGAGUAGUAGAAUUGAUAACUCCAUCACUAAACAUACUUGAUGGAGUCACAAUCUGCAAUGUAAUCACGUAUUUUACUAAAUUAAAUUUCGAGUAAGAAU